AGAGUGAUUUUAAUUUAGUAAAUCCUUAUGGACGAAUGAAUCCAGCACCAUUUUAUGGCGGUUUUUCUCAAAGCUUUCCAGAACAUAUGCCACCCAAGCCACUCCCGUGUCUGCCAACUCAUGAACGUUUAUGGAGCAGAGAUGCAUAUGGAAAUAUGCAACAGACGCCAAACCAAUUGACACCCUAUCAAGGAGUGAAGUGACGCUUAUAUUUUUCCCAACGCUAUUUCUGUCAAUGUCUGAUGAAGGAAAUAAUACACUGAAAAUCUAAAUUGAAUGCAUGUCUAAUAUCAGCCUGUCUAUGAUUUAUUUAACCAGAAUGGCAUAAAAAGGGAUUUAUAAAAACAUGAAAAAGAUUAAUUCCAUAACUCA